rnacentral:rRNA from 1 species
UACAGAGGGUGCAAGCGUUUGUUCGGAAUUACUGGGCGUAAAGCGCGUGUAGGCUGCGGAGUAAGUUGACGUGAAAGCCCUUGGCUUAACCAAGGAAGUGCAUCCAAUACUGCAUCGCUUGAGUGUCGGAGGGGGCGGCGGAAUUCCCGGUGUAGAGGUGAAAUUCGUAGAUAUCGGGAGGAACACCUGUGGCGAAGGCGGCCGCCUGGACGAGUAACUGACGCUGAGACGCGAAAGCCAGGGGAGACCGGAACGGGGAUUAAGAAACCC